UCGAAUACUUAUGGUAUUUUGAAAUUUGUCACGUCAUUGAUAUAUAUGUAAGCUAUUAAACAUACUUGUGCAUAUAAUAAUUAACAGACAAUUGCUCUUAGAUAUAUAUUUGUUAUUAUAACGCCUUUUCAAAGAUUAUUUUGAAUAUAAAAUCAAGUUGUUAAUUGUCGGUUGUACUACAAUAGAUAAACACAAGAUUGUAAAAAACUAUAAUGGUGAAUAAUAGGUAAAGUUAUACCUGUUAUUAAUGGUAUGUAAUUCGACCUUAAGUGGUAAAACUUUUAACCAAAAAAAAAAAAAAAAAACAUUUCGGGUGUAAAUUAAAAAAAAUAAUUAUUUUAAUCAUAUCAAAGUAUCAGAUAUAUAAUUUUGUGGCUCUAGCUAUCCAGCUAACUAUGCAACGUGAAAUGGUCGCAAGGUUGAGGUCCUGUUAUUGAAAGUAUUCCUUGUCAUACAUAGAUUAGCAAAUGUGCAGGUAUUUGAUCCUUAGGUAUUAGGUCGUUUCCAAUUAAUAAAUUCAUUCAAUUUGUUGUGUUUAUACUUUAGCAUUAAGACUCUUUCUAUCAAUUUUUAUUAUACAUGAGUAUUUAAUAGUACAUCAUUUUCGUACUUGCCAAAGACUUUUUUGUAUGUGAUAUGUUUAUUUACUUUUGUACUUAGAAUGUAAACUGUAUUUCUACAUUAAAUAAUUUAGGUAUAUAUAAAUAAAA